rnacentral:lncRNA from 1 species
GUCACAGUGCUCCCAGGAGGUUCUUGCAGGCGCCUGGCUGCUUACUGGGAGGACAGAAUGGGGCUGGCAGGGGUGCUGGGGUGGUGCUGUGGGGCAAUUUCCCUGUCGCAUAGCGGUCAGGCCAAACCCUCCGUAGGACCACUUUCACUGCCACUCCAUCACUUGUGCUUCCAAGUCCAAGAUUUUCCCUUUAAACAGAGGAACUGGGACAAGCAUUUCAACAGCACUAUAUGGUGUCGGGGUUUUUCAGUUUGGGCUGAAGUGGAAUUGUAAAAUGCUUUCCUUUUCUCAAAAAAUUAUCUGGACUUUGGCUAAAAACCCGGCCCAGCUGUCAUUUGGUGAACUGGCACAUGCCGCCGUUAUCAGCUGUCCCCACCUGGCUGGAUUUAUGUCCAGCCCACAUUUGUUAAUGAUUGAAACAAGGUACAGGGGAAAAAAAAAAAAACAGCCAGCACAAAGCAAAACCCAACGGCAGCACAGCUCUGUGUGCUACCAGAUGCCACUGUGUAUUGAUGUCACUUGGAGAUUUGAUUGUCAACAUCAUAAAAACAGCACCAGAAAAAGCCACAAGAUAUUGCAUAAAGCCCAGAAUGACUGAAAGUUGGUGGACUUUUUCAGGAGAUACAUUUUUUCACUGGUGAGUAGGUGGAGCCAUUUUAUUUUUCUCCAUUGCAGUCUAGAACAAUUCAAGCUUCUGAGACUCGUAUUUUGAUGUCAUUGAUCAUCUUGCUGGAACAAUGCAGCAGAGUUUCUCCCCAGUGUCAAAAUUGUGAAUUAUAUAUGUUUCAUAUUCCAUCAUUAAUUAGGAACAGUUUUCUUCCAUUUAAAUAAUUUUAUUUCUUGAGGUGGGAAGAGGAUUUCUUUGACUGAUCAUCCUUCAUUAAAUUAGCCGUAGAAAUGGUUUGCAUCUUCUGAGGUUGAAUGUAAAUCUAAGC